rnacentral:rRNA from 1 species
UACGGAGGAUCCAAGCGUUAUCCGGAAUUACUGGGCGUAAAGAGUUGCGUAGGUGGCAGAGUAAGCGAAGCAUGAAAUCUUGUGGCUCAACCAUGAGGCUAUGCUUUGAACUGCUCAGCUAGAAGAUAAGAGAGGUACCUGGAAUUCCCAGUGUAGGAGUGAAAUCCGUAGAUAUUGGGAGGAACACCGAUGGCGUAGGCAGGGUACUGGCUUAUUCUUGACACUAAGGCACGAAAGCGUGGGGAGCAAACGGG